rnacentral:piRNA from 1 species
UCCUAAGAGUUCCAAAGCCUCCCUACACAGG